UGUAUUUUGACAAGUUCCUAAAAACAUCUAGAAAUGUAUAUGUCAAGAAAUGCCUAAGAGUGUAAUCAGACCUCAAAUAGUCUUUUGUGACCUGUUUUCACUACUAUCUUGUGACUAUCUUCACAUCUGAACAGACGUGCGGCUACAUAAAUGGUCGUUGUUGGUUGCAUAGCGUUCCGUUACCAGGACAUCACCUGUUACAGAUCCCACGAUUUUAAAACUCUGUUGCCUUCCUGUUUCUUCAUCAGGGAUGCACCUCUGAAAAACGCCGCCUUCCCGUUCCGUUCUGAUGGAGCAAUUCUGCAUUCCCGAUUGCCGUCCCUGGUUUGGUGGCUUUCUGCCUGACCUUUUACCCAUAUCCUCCAGUGUUAACCAAGGCUAACCCAAGGUGUCAACAAAACUAGACGGCAUCGAUUAAAGAACCAGUGGUAAACUGUAGACGGUAUUUCGUUUUCUGACGGGGUAAGCUGAGCAGAGUUGGGUAUGGGGACAAGUUUC
rnacentral:lncRNA from 1 species